GCAACAUUGUGCCAUGGACUUCUCAAACUCGCAGUUCUGGAAAGAGAUGCAACAGACGUCCAAAUGAGCCCCGGUUAUGGAAUUGGAAACCUUUAUUUCCGUAGGCGUACAGGUACAUAUAUGAAGCCAGCAACGAUCUGAAGCCCGGGAGGAGAAAAACAACGUGUAAAGACACCAUGAAUAAUCACAACGUCCUUUGUAGCUUGAUCAUCUUUCUUCAGAUCGCCUUCUCACCGCGGGGAUCCACCUACAAUUUCAGCCUCUGUAACCACGACAAGAUACAAGAGGAUCUACAAAACGUUUUGGAUCCAGACACAGUCUUUACACAAGAGGAGCUAGAACUCGAUUUUCACACCUGCGAGGACGCGCCCUCCGAGCCGGCGGGCAAGCAGCAGUCCGAGGACUCCAGGUGGACGGAGCGAGCGGGCCGGCUGCUGGAAUGUUUCCUGCAGCGGGUGCGGGAAUGCAGGGAGGAGCGGCCGGAGCUGUGGCGCGUCACCUGGUCCGUGCUGAAGCGCCACUGCCCCGGCUUCUGCGCGUCACCGAAGGGCACUGGGACAGCGCAGCGGGACAGCCCCGCAGGCAGCACCGCCGGGAUGGCGAGCCCAACCCCGUGCGACAAGAGCAAAGCCCGGGAGCUGAUGGCGGUGUGGAGAAGCUACAACAACUUGGGAUAGGCCGCCCGGGGGUGGUGCGGCUUUUAAUUUUGCCUCCUCCGCUGGACUUCACUUGCAUUGUCCGCUGCGCAGUCACAUCAACGGAGUAACUCUGCGGGUUGGUAUAAAAAAAACCCCCAAACCAAACCCACGUACAAAACCAACGCUGCCACCACCACAGAAAACUCAGAACAGACACCUCGGGAAGUUCAGAAGUUCCCGGCGCAGGCGUCCCGCGGGAUGCGCCAUCGGAGGUGGGCUCACCUCGCGCUCCGCUGCCGCCUCUGGGGCGCGGCCACCUGCAACAGGACGUCGUGCUUUGCGAGGGCAAAGGGGAUAAAGAAAUGAAGAAUAAAAGGGGAUACAAAAAUGAAAAAUAAAAGGGGAAAAAAAAAAAACCCGGAGCCGCGGCUGCGUGGAGCGUUUGUGCCAGAGUUCGCGGCCCAUGCGCGGCGCGCGGAGCAGGGCGCGGGGCGGGGCGGGCG
rnacentral:lncRNA from 1 species